rnacentral:rRNA from 1 species
AGCAUAUCAAUAAGCGGAGGAAAAGAAACCAACAGGGAUUGCCCUAGUAACGGCGAGUGAAGCGGCAACAGCUCAAAUUUGAAAUCUGGCUCUUUUAGAGUCCGAGUUGUACUUUGCAGAGGGCGCUUUGGCUUUGGCAGCGGUCCAAGUUCCUUGGAACAGGACGUCACAGAGGGUGAGAAUCCCGUACGUGGUCGCUGGCUAUUGCCGUGUAAAGCCCCUUCGACGAGUCGAGUUGUUUGGGAAUGCAGCUCUAAAUGGGAGGUACAUUUCUUCUAAAGCUAAAUAUUGGCCAGAGACCGAUAGCGCACAAGUAGAGUGAUCGAAAGAUGAAAAGCACUUUGGAAAGAGAGUCAAACAGCACGUGAAAUUGUUGAAAGGGAAGCGCUUGCAGCCAGACUUGCUUGCAGUUGCUCAUCCGGGCUUUUUUGCCCGGUGCACUCUUCUGUAGGCAGGCCAGCAUCAGUUUGGGCGGUAGGAUAAAGGUCUCUGUCACGUACCUCCUUUCGGGGAGGCCUUAUAGGGGAGGCGACAUACUACCAGCCUGGACUGAGGUCCGCGCAUCUGCUAGGAUGCUGGCGUAAUGGCUGUAAGCGGCCCGUCUUGAAACACGGACCAAGGAGUCUAACAUCUAUGCGAGUGUUUGGGUGUCAAGCCCGAGCGCGUAAUGAAAGUGAACGGAGGUGGGAACCCGCAAGGGUGCACCAUCGACCGAUCCUGAUGUCUUCGGAAGGAUUUGAGUAAGAGCAUGGCUGUUGGGACCCGAAAGAUGGUGAACUAUGCUUGAAUAGGGUGAAGCCAGAGGAAACUCUGGUGGAGGCUCGCAGCGGUUCUGACGUGCAAAUCGAUCGUCAAAUUUGGGCAUAGGGGCGAAAGACUAAUCGAACUAUCUAGUAGCUGGUUCCUGC